rnacentral:rRNA from 1 species
CCUACGGGAGGCAGCAGUAGGGAAUCUUCGGCAAUGGACGAAAGUCUGACCGAGCAACGCCGCGUGAGUGAAGAAGGUUUUCGGAUCGUAAAACUCUGUUGUUAGAGAAGAACAAGGACGUUAGUAACUGAACGUCCCCUGACGGUAUCUAACCAGAAAGCCACGGCUAACUACGUGCCAGCAGCCGCGGUAAUACGUAGGUGGCAAGCGUUGUCCGGAUUUAUUGGGCGUAAAGCGAGCGCAGGCGGUUUCUUAAGUCUGAUGUGAAAGCCCCCGGCUCAACCGGGGAGGGUCAUUGGAAACUGGGAGACUUGAGUGCAGAAGAGGAGAGUGGAAUUCCAUGUGUAGCGGUGAAAUGCGUAGAUAUAUGGAGGAACACCAGUGGCGAAGGCGGCUCUCUGGUCUGUAACUGACGCUGAGGCUCGAAAGCGUGGGGAGCAAACAGGAUUAGAUACCCUGGUAGUCCACGCCGUAAACGAUGAGUGCUAAGUGUUGGAGGGUUUCCGCCUUCAGUGCUGCAGCAAACGCAUUAAGCACUCCGCCUGGGGAGUACGAACCGCAAGGUUGAAACUUAAAGGAAUUGACGG